AUUCCAGCUCCAAUAGCGUAUAUUAAUGUUGUUGCAGUUAAAAAGCUCGUAGUUGGAUCUCUAACGCACGCGGCCGGUCCGCCCCUCACGGGGUGUGCACUGCGCCGUCGUGCGUUAUCCUGGGGGAGAGCGUCCCGCGCAUUAGGUUGUGUGGGUCGGGAUCCUCCACGUUUACUCAAAAUAAAUAAGAGUGUUCAAAGCAGGCGAUUGCUGUGAAUUCUUCAGUUGGGAAUAAUAAGAUAGGACUCGGGGACUAUUUUGUUGGUUUGCAUCUCCGAGUAAUGAUUAAUAGGGACAGUUGGAGAUAUUCAUAUUCAGUUGUCAGAGGUGAAAUUCUUGGAUUUACGGAAGAUGAACUACUGCGAAAGCAUUUAUCGAGGAUGUUUUCAUCG
rnacentral:rRNA from 1 species